GCCUGGAUGACUCAGUCAGUUGAGUAUCUGACUUCAGCUCAGGUCAUGAUCUCAUGGUUCGUGGGUUUGAGCCCCACAUCAGGCU
rnacentral:tRNA from 1 species